UUUCAGCCCCGUUUCAAAGCGCACAUGAAGGCCAGGCCCUCUUAGUCCGAAAAAAGCCCAAAAGAAGAGACCCUUCACCACCCUUUUUAACUCGAUUCCGGCGACUAAAGGGGACUUCCGGCGCCGAGGCCUCGUGAUCCUUUAGGUGAGUCCCUCUUCCUUUUUAUUCUAUUAUUUAGUAUGUAAAAGAAAAAAUGAAAAUAAAAUAGAAAAAAAUUAAAAAGAUUCGAAACCAGAAAGUAAAAUCUUCUCAAAUAUGCUCUGUUUUUGUUUUUUUUAUUUAAUGUUCGUGAAGGAAAAAAAAAGAGGGGAGAACCCCGGUACAAGUGAUUGCUAUGGCUUUAUAGCCAUUUUUACAUGAUUUUUUUAUUAUCUAUUUUGCUUGUCACUUCUGCCUUAAUUUCUUGCAGGUGGAGCAGGUAAGGACGGAUGUGACCGUGGCGGUGCAAGUGGCAGUGGCAGAGGAGUUGAUGAGUGGCAGAGGGUAGGUGCGGCGCUAGGGUUAGGUGCAAUAGAGGCUAGGGUUUUCUGAAAAUGUUUUAGUUUUGGGCUUGUUGGGCCUUUAGUUUUUUUUUUUGCUGUAAUUUUAUUGUUUUGGGUUAGGUCUGUUUUAGGGUAUUGGGUUUGGUUUAAGGUUUGGGUAGUUGGGUUUUUGGGCCCCGGGCAAAUUUGGGCUUGUACAGCUACCCCUCUUUGCUCGUUGUCGUGUAACGAGAACAGAGUAAAGACUAAGAAAAACCAAAUUUGCCCGGUCUCGCCGAGUCUUGACUUCUU
rnacentral:lncRNA from 1 species